rnacentral:rRNA from 1 species
GACGAGGGGUCCUAGCGUUGUUCGGAAUUACUGGGCGUAAAGCGUAUGUAGGCGGCUUUUUAAGUCGGGUGUGAAAUCCCAUGGCUCAACCAUGGAAUUGCAUUCGAAACUGGAGAGCUUGAGUGUGGGAGAGAUUGGUAGAAUACCUGGUGUAGUGGUGAAAUACGUAGAUAUCAGGUGGAAUACCGGUGGCGAAGACG